UCUGGUGGCCAUAGUGGCCGUUAAACACCCGAUCCCUUCCCGAACUCGGAAGUUAAGGGCGGCUACGCUGAUGGUACUGCGACUUAAGUCGUGGGAGAGUAAGUCACCGCCAGAC
rfam:Ketogulonicigenium vulgare Y25, complete genome.